ensembl:lncRNA
CAGGAUGUUUUGAAAGUGAAAACAUGGACGACGAUUUCAAGACUUGCUGCUAUCGAAUACAGAUCGCCCCGUGAUCAAUCUAAUAGACUAUUAACGUUUAUUUAUACCUAAAGUUGGUUUAGAAAAGCAAUUUGAAGUGAUUUGUAAAAGUUUAUAGGUAACUUUUGUAAUUUUAAAAAGUGACGUUGCGUCAUGUAAAGGGGCAUUUUUCUGGAUCAGACCGGUCGUCAGCAAAUCACAUUUUGGGUAUACAAUGACGGAUUUAAUCGGGAAAAAGACCCAAUUGUGAUGUUUAUGUGACAUAUAGGAGUGCCAAGAAAGAAGCUCGUCAAAGAAUCCGCAGGAGGAGUCCAGGCCGCCGAAUCAGCUGGAGGAGUCCAGGCCGCCGAAUCAGCUGGAGGAGUCCAGGCCGAAUCAGCUGGAGGAGUCCAGGCCGCCGAAUCAGCUGGAGGAGUCCAGGCCGCCGAAUCAGCUGGAGGAGUCCAGGCCGCCGAAUCAGCUGGAGGAGUCCAGGCUGUUGAAUCAGCAGGAGGAGUCCAGGCUGUUGAAUUAGCAGGAGGAGUCCAGGCUGUUGAAUCAGCAGGAGGAGUCCAGGCUGUUGCUGCUCAGGAUAGUUACUAUUACAGGGCUUGUGGCAACAGGUCACAAAUCUUGCUGUCGUGAUGGCACACUGUGGUACUUCACCCAGUAGAUAUGGGAGUUCAUCAAAAUUGGGUUUGUUUUCAAAUUCUUUUGCUGGUCUGUGUAAUCUGAGGUAAAUAUGUGUCUCUAAUAUGGUCAAACACUUGGCAGGAGGUUAGGAAGUGCAGCUCAGUUUCCACCUCAUUUUGUGGGCAGUGUUGCACAUAGCCUAUUUUCUACUGCGAGCCAGGUCUCGCUCUCCAUUCCUACUCUCUCCUUUCCCCCCUCUCCCUC